rnacentral:tRNA from 1 species
GCCUUCGUAGUAUAAUGGUAGCACACUCGGCGCGCAUUCAAGAGGUCCAGGUUCGAGUCCCAGCGAGGGCA